rnacentral:rRNA from 1 species
CAGUAGCCACGGUAAUACAGAGGGUGUGAGCGUUAAUCGGAUUUACUGGGCGUAAAGCGUGCGUAGGCGGCUUCUUAAGUCGGAUGUGAAAUCCCUGAGCUUAACUUAGGAAUUGCAUUCGAUACUGGGAAGCUAGAGUAUGGGAGAGGAUGGUAGAAUUCCAGGUGUAGCGGUGAAAUGCGUAGAGAUCUGGAGGAAUACCGAUGGCGAAGGCAGCCAUCUGGCCUAAUACUGACGCUGAGGUACGAAAGCAUGGGGAGCAAACAGGAUUAGAUACCCCCGUAGUCCCUGUCUCUUAUAC